rnacentral:rRNA from 1 species
GACGGAGGGUGCUAGCGUUGUUCGGAAUCACUGGGCGUAAAGGGCGCGUAGGCGGACCUGCAAGUCGGGGGUGAAAGCCCGAGGCUCAACCUCGGAACUGCCUUCGAUACUGCGGGUCUCGAGUCCGGGAGAGGUGAGUGGAAUUCCUAGUGUAGAGGUGAAAUUCGUAGAUAUUAGGAAGAACACCAGUGGCGAAGGCGGCUCACUGGCCCGGUACUGACGCUGAGGCGCGAAAGCGUGGGGGAGCAAACAGG